rnacentral:lncRNA from 1 species
AUGAGAUACCAGUGGUUGGCAAUGGCAGUGGGCAAUGGUAAGUAGUGAGAGAGGAGGGUUCUUUCACACUCACUCUCUUAUGCUUUUUUCUUAAGCUAUCAUUCUGUUUUCUUAUAAUUUAUUUCAUAUAGUCGUGUAUUUUAUCCAACUUUCUCUCUUUUCUAUUAAUUUAGAGGCUAUUGUAGCCAAGAAAAGUUCAAAAUGCCCUUUUUUAAAAAAAAUUGAAGAACAAUCAAUUUUGUGAAAAGUAAUAAUGCAGUGGCCAUUUUUGCAAAAU